rnacentral:lncRNA from 1 species
AGAUUUUUCUUCUUAUUCAGCUUAGAUCUCAGUGUGGAAAUUACUGAAUCAUCGAGAGUUGUUCCUGAACUUGAUACGACUGUCUUCAACGUCGUUGUGUUUUUUGUAUCAUGUGUAAAGGCGGGUAAUGAUCCGGAGCCGAUCUCAGAAUCGUCGGAAUUGAACGAGAUGUUGAUCGGAUCGUAGAGGAAUGAGAUUUUUUUGUUAGGGUUACGGGCUACGAUGGAGAGAUUGAACUUGGAAGCGAGUUUUGUUGAGGUGAGAUUGAAUUGAGAGACUUGAAGAGUUGAAACGGAGAAUGAUGGCCUCUGAGGUCGGUAAAGCACCCAGAAAAUAGCACCGGCAAUUGCAGCAAGGAGGAUAAGAAUGACUAUGAGGAAGGUAAUGAAGAGGCAACAACAACAGCAACAGCUCCGGCGGUGUUUCCGGCGGGGUGGCGGCACGGGACGGUAAGUAGGGCGUGCAGCGUUGUAAAGCUGAGCUUUGUUCGCCGGAAAAGCUGGAUU